ACAGUAGAACGACAGCUCCACCCAUGGACUCUCCGUACAGGAACCGGCUUUUGUUCCUGUAAUCCUCCAUCUCUGCAGAACGACGGCUCCACCCAUGAAUACUUUGAUAUCCAUAAGAAUUUGAGGACACAUUAAAAUGUGAGACACGAAACUAAGUUGCUAUUCUGAGUCAAGCAAAAUAUAUGUAGAGAUCAUAUGUUGCAUUACAAGGUCUUGGCAGCGAUUAAAGUGAAAUAUGUUUUUACCGCAGAUGGAUUUGAAGAACUGGUCGCAGUCAGUCACAAGGUUGUCGAACUUCUGGAUGUAGCAUCUGGCACCCAUGGACUUGCCGUGGCCCUCAUAAUCGAUCCCGAACACACCAUACCCUGCUGUGGCCAUCUUGAUCCC
rnacentral:lncRNA from 1 species